GCACUCAGACUCAACACCCCGAUUCUCUUCUGUACAUGAAGACUGGUCGUCCCCAGCACUGCUUGGUUCCUAGGGUCAUGGUGAAGACCAGUGAGUUUGUCUGCAUGUGGGAAAUCAUUUUCUACUGUGUGUUCCCGUACCUGUGCAUCUGUGACGAGUUUACAGUCAUUCCUAGGGAUAUCUGAAUACUGAACUCAACAGGUUACUACUAAUUGGGUCAGGGGCAAUGCUUCUUAUCUCCUUGCUUCGACUCUCUUUCAUUCAAGCUGCUCUAUAGCAUCUGACUCUAAGUGGACUCUGACUGCCCCUCACCUAGAUGAGAUGCUUAGGUUCUCUUCGCCCAGAGCCACUCAGUGAACACCUUCCUUCUGCCUGCACAUCUUUACUUCGGGUGCCACAGAAUGAGGCACAUCAGACAACAGACUGUCAUUCUGCAGCAUGCUGGUUGAAAGUGGGAACAUCGUUUCUGGGGGCCUCUUGGACAAGAACGAUUUUCUACAACUUGCACCUUACAAGUUGGUCAGCCUGAACUUGAACUCCGAUCUCUUGGACCCAUGCACUAUUGGUUUCCAGUGACUUCAAAAUCAUUAACUAUGAGACGCUGUAAUGCUGACUGGUCACGGUGUGCAAGAACAGGUUUCUAGAGAAAUCCCAGAGAAAGAAAACCAGAAGAUACAAAGCUGAGUAUACAACCCAGUAAAACAAUGAGAAUUACCCACAAAACAAUGGGCGCUGAGGGCUAAGAUCAGUGCAGGUCCGGAGAUGGGCAGAAUGACUCGCCCUGUGCUUUCAGCCUGCAUCUUCAGUGAGUGCCCCUCCCACGGAAGGGGCCCGGAGCAUGCUGGGAAAAAAACGCUCCUACCUGAGCUGCACAAAAGACCUCAGGAGUGGAGGAAGCUGGCUUGAAGCCAAAUGGAGGCAUCCAGGCUGCUGGGCCAAGCAGGGAGGUCUGGUGGUGGAGCCUCCCGAUCUCACAUCCUCUGUAAUCCCAUGGCAAACAGCCCUGGAGGUUUUUCAAGAAUAGAGUUAGGGGUGGCAGCGACCGUGAGUCCUCCUGAUUGCUUUAAUCUGCCUUAUGAAUGAAUGCGGACCUAGAGAAACACACACGGGUAAACAAAGCCAAUGUCUCAAUG
rnacentral:lncRNA from 1 species